rnacentral:miRNA from 1 species
AGCUGUUUUGGGAUUACAGUUCCCAGCAUCCCUGACCACUGGCUCUGUUAGUGAGGGAUAAUGGGAGUUGUAGUCUCAAAACAGCU